rnacentral:rRNA from 1 species
GGACAAAGACUGACGCUCAGAUGCGAAAGCGUGGGUAGCAAACAGGAUUAGAUACCCUGGUAGUCCACGCCGUAAACGCUGUCUACUUGGAGGUUGAGGUUUUAGACUUUGGCUUUCGGCGCUAACGCAUUAAGUAGACCGCCUGGGGAGUACGGCCGCAAGGUUAAAACUCAAAUGAAUUGACGGGGGCCCGCACAAGCGGUGGAGCAUGUGGUUUAAUUCGAUGCAACGCGAAGAACCUUACCUACUCUUGACAUCCAGCGAAGCCUUUAGAGAUAGAGGCGUGCCUUCGGGAGCGCUGAGACAGGUGCUGCAUGGCUGUCGUCAGCUCGUGUUGUGAAAUGUUGGGUUAAGUCCCGCAACGAGCGCAACCCUUAUCCUUGUUUGCCAGCACGUAAUGGUGGGAACUCCAGGGAGACUGCCGGUGAUAAACCGGAGGAAGGUGGGGACGACGUCAAGUCAUCAUGGCCCUUACGAGUAGGGCUACACACGUGCUACAAUGGCAGAUACAGAGGGCAGCGAGACAGCGAUGUUUAGCGAAUCCCUUAAAGUUUGUCGUAGUCCGGAUUGGAGUCUGCAACUCGACUCCAUGAAGUCGGAAUCGCUAGUAAUCGUGGAUCAGAAUGCCACGGUGAAUACGUUCCCGGGCCUUGUACACACCGCCCGUCACACCAUGGGAGUGGGCUGCACCAGAAGUAGAUAGC